AUAUUUUCCUUUACACGCGGUCGCCUCACUUUCUGCCGUAAAAUUUGGUUUAAGUAUGACCCGACUUUCGAAUGCUAAUACCAUGAUUUUUGUACAUAUAUCUAGUGGAAAAAUUUGUCUGACAUGCCGUUCUGACGACAUCAAAUUGACAGUUAACACAAGAUUACUGAUCAUGCAAUUAAAAUUAGAAUAAAAAUUCUCAAUGAAUUAAAAAAACUGCUCCAGUUCCAAAAUGUUUAGAUUGUGAGAUGCGCGAGCUCAAUGAAACCAAAUCGAAUUUAACAAAGUGAAGAUAAUAUGGCAGCGCACUAAAGUUUUUUCAUACAUCUAACGUGGUGAUCGUCAAAAUUAUUUUUCAGUUUAUUUUUUGUUUCAUAGAUUUUCUAUUUGAUAGCGUGAGUAUUGCGAUUUUGUAAUUGCAGUUUGCGCGAAAAAGGCGAUAAACGGAGAAUUUGUGCAUUUUUAAGAACCAAUUUUGAUGAUUUUGACAGACGCUGCGUUAAAGGCAGUAACAAGUUACACGGUUUUGCCGUCGUUGUCUAUGGCGAAAGACCGAAUAUGGCCCACACGUCACCGCAUCUUGAAAGAACAUUUCGGCCAUAAAAAGUGUUUCGCUUGAUGCAAGCUCGUGUUAUGUUCAUCGUACAUCUGAUGUGCUUGCAUUUUCAUUAUAAAAUGCAAAGAAAUAAAGCUAAAAAUUGAAGACGGUCAAUUGAAUAAUAUACAUGCCAGCAGAUGAAGAAGCUUUCCCUCUUGGAGCCAAAGGUUAUAAGGAACCUCCAUCAUUAUCGUAAGCUUUUGAACUAUUACAGUUUCUUUUAAAACAUUCUUUAAUGUUUAUACAUACUCGUAUCUAAAUUCAGCCAAAAAGGUUAUGAAAAUUAUUUGUAAAUGUAA